rnacentral:rRNA from 1 species
GGUUAAGCGACUAAGCGUACACGGUGGAUGCCCUGGCAGUCAGAGGCGAUGAAGGACGUGCUAAUCUGCGAUAAGCGUCGGUAAGGUGAUAUGAACCGUUAUAACCGGCGAUUUCCGAAUGGGGAAACCCAGUGUGAUUCGUCACACUAUCAUUACGUGAAUACAUAGCGUAAUGAAGCGAACCGGGGGAACUGAAACAUCUAAGUACCCCGAGGAAAAGAAAUCAACCGAGAUUCCCCCAGUAGCGGCGAGCGAACGGGGAGCAGCCCAGAGUCUGAAUCAGCUUGUGUGUUAGUGGAACGGUCUGGAAAGUCCGACGGUACAGGGUGAUAGUCCCGUACACCAAAAUGCACAGGUUGUGAACUCGAAGAGUAGGGCGGGACACGUGGUAUCCUGUCUGAAUAUGGGGGGACCAUCCUCCAAGGCUAAAUACUCCUGACUGACCGAUAGUGAACCAGUACCGUGAGGGAAAGGCGAAAAGAACCCCGGCGAGGGGAGUGAAAAAGAACCUGAAACCGUGUACGUACAAGCAGUGGGAGCCUCUUUAUGGGGUGACUGCGUACCUUUUGUAUAAUGGGUCAGCGACUUAUAUUCUGUAGCAAGGUUAACCGUAUAGGGGAGCCGAAGGGAAACCGAGUCUUAACUGGGCGUUAAGUUGCAGGGUAUAGACCCGAAACCCGGUGAUCUAGCCAUGGGCAGGUUGAAGGUUGGGUAACACUAACUGGAGGACCGAACCGACUAAUGUUGAAAAAUUAGCGGAUGACUUGUGGCUGGGGGUGAAAGGCCAAUCAAACCGGGAGAUAGCUGGUUCUCCCCGAAAGCUAUUUAGGUAGCGCCUCGUGAAUUCAUCUUCGGGGGGUAGAGCACUGUUUCGGCUAGGGGUCAUCCCGACUUACCAACCCGAUGCAAACUGCGAAUACCGAAGAAUGUUAUCACGGGAGACACACGGCGGGUGCUAACGUCCGUCGUGAAGAGGGAAACAACCCAGACCGCCAGCUAAGGUCCCAAAGUCAUGGUUAAGUGGGAAACGAUGUGGGAAGGCACAGACAGCCAGGAUGUUGGCUUAGAAGCAGCCAUCAUUUAAAGAAAGCGUAAUAGCUCACUGGUCGAGUCGGCCUGCGCGGAAGAUGUAACGGGGCUAAACCAUGCACCGAAGCUGCGGCAGCGACACUAUGUGUUGUUGGGUAGGGGAGCGUUCUGUAAGCCGUUGAAGGUGUAUCGUGAGGUAUGCUGGAGGUAUCAGAAGUGCGAAUGCUGACAUAAGUAACGAUAAUGCGGGUGAAAAACCCGCACGCCGGAAGACCAAGGGUUCCUGUCCAACGUUAAUCGGGGCAGGGUGAGUCGACCCCUAAGGCGAGGCCGAAAGGCGUAGUCGAUGGGAAACAGGUUAAUAUUCCUGUACUUGGUGUUACUGCGAAGGGGGACGGAGAAGGCUAUGUUAGCCGGGCGACGGUUGUCCCGGUUUAAGCAUGUAGGCGGAGGUUCCAGGUAAAUCCGGUACCUUUUAACGCUGAGGUGUGAUGACGAGGCACUACGGUGCUGAAGUAACAAAUGCCCUGCUUCCAGGAAAAGCCUCUAAGCAUCAGGUAACACGAAAUCGUACCCCAAACCGACACAGGUGGUCAGGUAGAGAAUACCAAGGCGCUUGAGAGAACUCGGGUGAAGGAACUAGGCAAAAUGGUGCCGUAACUUCGGGAGAAGGCACGCUGAUAUGUAGGUGAAGUGAUUUACUCAUGGAGCUGAAAUCAGUCGAAGAUACCAGCUGGCUGCAACUGUUUAUUAAAAACACAGCACUGUGCAAACACGAAAGUGGACGUAUACGGUGUGACGCCUGCCCGGUGCCGGAAGGUUAAUUGAUGGGGUUAUCCGUAAGGAGAAGCUCUUGAUCGAAGCCCCGGUAAACGGCGGCCGUAACUAUAACGGUCCUAAGGUAGCGAAAUUCCUUGUCGGGUAAGUUCCGACCUGCACGAAUGGCGUAAUGAUGGCCAGGCUGUCUCCACCCGAGACUCAGUGAAAUUGAACUCGCUGUGAAGAUGCAGUGUACCCGCGGCAAGACGGAAAGACCCCGUGAACCUUUACUAUAGCUUGACACUGAACACUGGUCCUUGAUGUGUAGGAUAGGUGGGAGGCUUUGAAGUGUGGACGCCAGUCUGCAUGGAGCCAUCCUUGAAAUACCACCCUUUAAUGGCUGGUGUUCUAACGUGGACCCGUUACCCGGGUUGCGGACAGUGUCUGGUGGGUAGUUUGACUGGGGCGGUCUCCUCCUAAAGAGUAACGGAGGAGCACGAAGGUUAGCUAAUCCUGGUCGGACAUCAGGAGGUUAGUGCAAAGGCAUAAGCUAGCUUGACUGCGAGAGUGACGGCUCGAGCAGGUGCGAAAGCAGGUCUUAGUGAUCCGGUGGUUCUGAAUGGAAGGGCCAUCGCUCAACGGAUAAAAGGUACUCCGGGGAUAACAGGCUGAUACCGCCCAAGAGUUCAUAUCGACGGCGGUGUUUGGCACCUCGAUGUCGGCUCAUCACAUCCUGGGGCUGAAGUAGGUCCCAAGGGUAUGGCUGUUCGCCAUUUAAAGUGGUACGCGAGCUGGGUUUAGAACGUCGUGAGACAGUUCGGUCCCUAUCUGCCGUGGGCGCUGGAGAAUUGAGGGGGCUGCUCCUAGUACGAGAGGACCGGAGUGGACGCAUCACUGGUGUUCGGGUUGUCAUGCCAAUGGCAUUGCCCGGUAGCUAAAUGCGGAAGAGAUAAGUGCUGAAAGCAUCUAAGCACGAAACUUGCCCCGAGAUGAGUUCUCCCUGAGACUUUAAGUCUCCUGAAGGAACGUUGAAGACGACGACGUUGAUAGGUCGGGUGUGUAAGUGUAGCGAUACAUUGAGCUAACCGAUACUAAUGAACCGUGAGGCUUAACCUU